GAUGAACGCUGGCGGCGUGCCUAAUACAUGCAAGUCGAGCGAACGGACGAGAAGCUUGCUUCUCUGAUGUUAGCGGCGGACGGGUGAGUAACACGUGGAUAACCUACCUAUAAGACUGGGAUAACUUCGGGAAACCGGAGCUAAUACCGGAUAAUAUUUUGAACCGCAUGGUUCAAAAGUGAAAGACGGUCUUGCUGUCACUUAUAGAUGGAUCCGCGCUGCAUUAGCUAGUUGGUAAGGUAACGGCUUACCAAGGCAACGAUGCAUAGGCGACCUGAGAGGGUGAUCGGCCACACUGGAACUGGGACACGGUCCAGACUCCUACGGGAGGCAGCAGUAGGGAAUCUUCCGCAAUGGGCGAAAGCCUGACGGAGCAACGCCGCGUGAGUGAUGAAGGUCUUCGGAUCGUAAAACUCUGUUAUUAGGGAAGAACAUAUGUGUAAGUAACUGUGCACAUCUUGACGGUACCUAAUCAGAAAGCCACGGCUAACUACGUG
rnacentral:rRNA from 1 species